rnacentral:lncRNA from 10 species
CACGUGGUCAUCCCCCUGCAGUAAUAUGUACUGGAGCAAUGACUCAGCUCACAGUUCUACCCUAUAGCUAUGUUUGUGCCACUACCACCUCCUGCCUCAAAGAAACUCUUGCCAGGGUGAUUUACCAAGGAUAAAGAUGUCUAAUUUAAGUUGGACCAACCCAAUUCUCUUUCUUGGAAAUUUGAAACUAGAAGAGAGCCACAUGGAGAAUGAAGGUCUUAUUUCAACUGUUGUUCAGGAAUGAUCCAAACAAAUUCAGAAGCAGAUUUAAAUGUUAUAGCAAACACUGGUAAUCUGGAUUUUUCAGUUUUCUCUGGUACUUCCCACUGGUUUCAAACUGCUCUCCUUCCAAAUUUAGUAAUGUUUAUUCCAGAAUGAAUGUAUUAAAUCUGAACUGUUUAAUAAGAGUAGCCAACCCCCAAAGUUAGAAUAAAGGGAAAGGCAAAACAUGCCACCCAUUAAGAAGCCAAGGCAUUACCAAGGUAAUUCUAUCAUCUAUCUCUUUCUCACACAAUGUGAGAUUUGGCAUUCUUGUCUACUCCUUUCCCGGGCUGCAGGCAGGAGAAGAAAAGAAGAUAGAUAUUCUCCUCACAACCCCCCAUACUCAUGCAAACACACACAAAGGCAAAAGUAUUGAUAAUUUAUCACAGAACCACAUCUACUCCUUGUUCUUACUGCCUUGUUACUUUCAUUAUGGUCUUCUCAAUUUAGGAAAACAGAUCUCAUAAACUCUCUUUGGUAAAGCAGAUAAUAAUAAUUUAUUUAAUUUUUACAUAGUGCCAAAAUUGAUCUAAGUCUUAUGCAUGUGCUAACUGAUUUAACAAUUAUAUUGACUCCAUGAGGAAGUUACUAUAAUUAUUUGCAGUUUAUAGAGGAGGAAAUUGAGGCACAGAGAAAAUUAGCAACUAAGGUCAUAGGGCUAGUGAAUGGCAGAACAGUAUUUAAAUCUUGAAAAUCUGAUUUAGAGUUUGCCCUCCCAACCAAUUUGUUAUGCCUUUGUCUAAUUUUAUCGAGUCAAUUAAAUGAAAUGAAUGCUUGGCAGCCCUUGUGUCUAAAUUUGUGACAGAAUUUAUCUACUUACCUUGUAUUAGGAUUGUUAGACUCAGACAACAUAAGGGAAAUCUAUUGUCAUUAGCCCACAUAGACACUAUUCCAAGUCCAUAACCUCAAAUUAAAUUGUCAAUGCUGCCAUGCAUGGCAGGAGCCAAGAGAAUCUUUCUA